UACGUAGGGUGCAAGCGUUUGUCCGGAAUUAUUGGGCGUAAAGAGCUCGUAGGCGGUUUGUCGCGUCUGCCGUGAAAGUCCGGGGGCUCAACUCCGGAUCUGCGGUGGGUACGGGCAGACUAGAGUGAUGUAGGGGAGACUGGAAUUCCUGGUGUAGCGGUGAAAUGCGCAGAUAUCAGGAGGAACACCGGUGGCGAAGGCAGCUCGCUGGGACGGUACUGACGCUGAGGCGCGAAAGCGUGGGGAGCAAACAGG
rnacentral:rRNA from 1 species